UACGUAAGGGGCAAGCGUUGUCCGGAAUCAUUGGGCGUAAAGCGCGUGUAGGCGGUCCGGUAAGUCCGCUGUGAAAGUCGGGGGCUCAACCCUCGAAUGCCGGUGGAUACUGUCGGGCUAGAGUGCGGAAGAGGCGAGUGGAAUUCCUGGUGUAGCGGUGAAAUGCGCAGAUAUCAGGAGGAACACCAAUUGCGAAGGCAGCUCGCUGGGACGUUACUGACGCUGAGACGCGAAAGCGUGGGGAGCAAACAGG
rnacentral:rRNA from 1 species